rnacentral:rRNA from 1 species
UUAUAUGAGAGUAUGAUCCUGGCUCAGGAUGAACGCUGGCGAAAUGCUUUACACAUGCAAGUUAUACUAAAAUUUUAAUUUAAGUAGCGAACGGGUGAGUAAUAUAUAAGAAUUUACCUUUAGGAGGGACAUAACUUUUAGAAAUAAUUGAUAAUAUCUCAUAUGCUUUUGAGUAAAAAAAUUUUAAUUUUGCCUAAAAAUAAGCUUAUAUCUGAUUAGCUAGUUGGUAAGAUAAUAGCUUACCAAGGCGAUGAUCAGUAUCUGGUUUGAGAGGAUGAUCAGACACAUUGGAACUGAGACACGGUCCAAACUUCUACGGAAGGCAGCAGUGAGGAAUUUUCCGCAAUGAGCGAAAGCUUGACGGAGCAAUUUCGCGUGAAGGAUUACAAUUUAACAAUUUUAAACUUCUUUUAUUAGUGAUGAAUAAAAUGACAUGUAACUAAAGAAUAAACAUCGGCUAACUUCGUGCCAGCAGCCGCGGUAAUACGGGGGAUGUUAGUGUUAUCCGGAAUUAUUGGGCGUAAAGCGUUUGUAGGUGGUUUAGUAAGUCAAAUAUUAAAUAUUAAAACUUAACUUUAAAAAUGUAAUUGAAACUACUAAACUAGAGUAUUAUAGAGGUAAGAGGAAUUUCCACAGAAGCGGUGGAAUGCGUUAAGAGUGGAAAGAACACCAAUAGCGAAAGCAUUUUACUGGAUUUCAACUGACAUUUAGAAACGAAAGCUAAGGUAUCAAAUGGGAUUAGAUACCCCAGUAGUCUUAAGCUGUAAACGAUAGAUACUAAAUAUUUAAUAGAUAAAUCUCUUUUAUAUUGAAGCUAACGCGUUAAGUAUCUCGCCUGAGAAUUACGCUCGCAAGAGUAAAACUCAAAGGAAUUGACGGGGGUCCGAACAAGCGGUGGAGCAUGUGGUUUAAUUCGAUGCAACGCGAUAAACCUUACCAGAAUUUGACAUAAUAUAAAUUUUUUUGAGAAAAAAAAGUGCUUUUAUUAACUAUAAUAAAUUGAAUAUAUAUACAGGUGGUGCAUGGCUGUCGACAGUUCGUGUCGUGAGAUGUUGGGUUCAGUCCCGUAACGAACGUAACCCUUAUUCUUAGUUGCUUUUGAACUCUAAGAAAACUACUGAUGAUAAGUCGGAGGAAGAAAAGGAUGACGUCAAGUCAUCAUGCCCCUUAUAUUCUGGGCUACACACGUGCUACAAUGGAUAAUACAAUAAGAUGCAAUCUUGUGAAAGUGAGCAAAUCUAUAAAAUUAUUCUAAGUUCAGAUUAUAGGCUGCAACUCGCCUAUAUGAAGUUGGAAUCGCUAGUAAUCGCUGAUCAGCAAUACAGCGGUGAAUACGUUCCCGGGUCUUGUACACACCGCCCGUCACACCAUGGAAGUAAAGAUUAUUUGAAUAUAUAUAUAUAUAAAUAUAUAGAAAGUGAGAUUUGUAACUGGGGUGAAGUCGUAACAAGGUAACUGUACUGGAAGGUGUAGUUGGAACAAUUUUAAU